CCUGGGAACUGCGUUNUGAACUGGGUGACUAGAGUGUGUCAGAGGGAGGUAGAAUUCCACGUGUAGCAGUGAAAUGCGUAGAGAUGUGGAGGAAUACCGAUGGCGAAGGCAGCCUCCUGGGAUAACACUGACGUUCAUGCCCGAAAGCGUGGGUAGCAAACAGGAUUAGAUACCCUGGUAGUCCACGCCCUAAGCGAUGUCGAUUAGCUGUUGGGCAGCAUGACUGCUUAGUAGCGAAGCUAACGCGUGAAAUCGACCGCCUGGGGAGUACGGUCGCAAGAUUAAAACUCAAAGGAAUUGACGGGGACCUGCACAAGCGGUGGAUGAUGUGGAUUAAUUCGAUGCAACGCGAAGAACCUUACCUGGUCUUGACAUGUACGGAACCCUCCAGAGACGGAGGGGUGCCUUCGGGAGCCGUAACACAGGUGCUGCAUGGCUGUCGUCAGCUCGUGUCGUGAGAUGUUGGGUUAAGUCCCGCAACGAGCGCAACCCUUGUCAUUAGUUGCCAUCAUUAAGUUGGGCACUCUAAUGAGACUGCCGGUGACAAGCCGGAGGAAGGUGGGGAUGACGUCAAGUCCUCAUGGCCCUUAUGACCAGGGCUUCACACGUCAUACAAUGGUCGGUACAGAGGGUAGCCAAGCCGCGAGGUGGAGCCAAUCUCACAAAACCGAUCGUAGUCCGGAUUGCACUCUGCAACUCGAGUGCAUGAAGUCGGAAUCGCUAGUAAUCGCAGGUCAGCAUACUGCGGUGAAUACGUUCCCGGGUCUUGUACACACCGCCCGUCACACCAUGGGAGUGGGGGAUACCAGAAGUAGGUAGGGUAAC
rnacentral:rRNA from 1 species